UUGUUCCCCCGAUGGCUGUGGGUUGAAAGAUUCCAAUGUCUCACUGCCAAGACUGCUGCCUGUCUUUUGGCUUCCUUGAUGAUGUGUCUCCCUUUUCCCAGAGAGAUAAGUACAGCAAAAAGCUGCCAUUCUUGAGUCCCGAUGGUACAAGGACACAUUGUUAGGCCUACGUCUCCCAAGAAGAUCUCAUCUCCCCACUGAAGCACCUGGCUCGGCCUCCUGCAGUGCCACGCUCCGUGUAUUUGACAAGCUGAGUUGGACACUCCAUGUGGUAGAGUGUCAGUUUGUCAAAUACCCCAAGUGCGGCAUGUGCCUAGCAGCUCCAAGCCAGGGCAGUUGGGGUACAACAAAUAGAUGAUCAGCAGGAUAAAAUAACACACAACAAAUACCAACUAAGCUCUCACAGGUUAUUUUAAGGUAACUUUGAGAGAAUGUAAGCAUUGUAUCUGAGGUUCCCAGUGGAAAAGUCAGACAGCUUUGAGAGCCACAGCCCUGAGUGGUGCCUACAUAUAUUGUGCGAGCCUGAGGGGGGCAAGGUAGCCUUGUAAAGGUAUCCAGGGCCCAGGGAUGAAAAUGCUACUUAAUUCAUUAUUUUUUUUCUUCACAUUCCCCAUUCCAGAGUAUCCCAGCAAGGAUACCAGAAGUCUCACACAACCAUCAUGGCAGGGCUUAGAAGCCCAUUUUUCUGACACUCAGUCUUAGCUCUAAACGCACUUUGACCUUACCUAUCUCUCUCCUUUUCCUCAUGCUUUUCCUCCUUCUGAGAACACCAUCCCCAUUUAUUUAUGCCUCUCCAAUUUCUUCCCAUAUUUCCUUGUCCAGGCAAAAUCAAGUUUCUGCAGGGACUUUUGAAAAAUAAACCUAUACUUUUUUCCUUCAUUCUCAAAUCACUUCUUGCCUGGGUCCUUCUAUGUACACCUUUAUCUCCUACUGCCCAAUAACACGGCUUAAAUUGUUAAUUAUCUUUUUUCAGAAUAUAUUUUGAAUCCUCUACUUUGUUUAUGACAAGACCAUGUUUCCUUGAUUGCUGUCUCUCCAUUCCAUUCCUACCCCACAGGACUCUGGUUACAGAAAAUAUUCAAUAAAGUUUUACUGAUUGAUUGA